rfam:Nannochloropsis gaditana mitochondrion, complete genome.
GGGGGUGUAACUCAAUGGUAGAGUGUGUGCUUUGCACGUACAAAGUUGUCGGUUCGAUUCCGACCAUCUCCA